UACAUGGGGUGCAAACGUUGCUCGGAAUUAUUGGGCGUAAAGCGCACGUAGGCGGUUCGUUAAGUCGGAUGUGAAAGCCCUCGGCUCAACUGAGGAAGUGCACCCGAAACUGGCGAGCUUGAGUACGAAAAGAGGAUCGCGGAAUUCCCAGUGUAGAGGUGAAAUUCGUAGAUAUUGGGAAGAACACCGGUGGCGAAGGCGGCGACCUGGUCCGAGACUGACGCUGAGGCGCGAAAGCGUGGGGAGCGAACAGG
rnacentral:rRNA from 1 species